CCUACGGGGGGCAGCAGUGGGGAAUAUUGCGCAAUGGGCGAAAGCCUGACGCAGCGACGCCGCGUGAGGGAUGAAGGUCUUCGGAUCGUAAACCUCUGUCAGCAGGGAAGAACGGUCACUGUGCUAAUCAGCAGUGAAUUGACGGUACCUGCACAGGAAGCACCGGCUAACUCCGUGCCAGCAGCCGCGGUAAUACGGAGGGUGCGAGCGUGAAUCGGAAUUACUGGGCGUAAAGCGCUCGUAGGCGGUAUGUCAAGUCAAGGGUGAAAUCCCCGCGCUCAACGUGGGAACUGCCUUUGAAACUGGCAAACUGGAGUGUGUGAGAGGGUAGUGGAAGUCCAGGUGUAGGGGUGAAAGCCGUAGAGAUCUGGAGGAACAUCAGUGGCGAAGGCGACUAUCUGGCACAUAACUGACGCUGAGGAGCGAAAGCGUGGGUAGCAAACAGGAUUAGAUACCCUUGUAGUC
rnacentral:rRNA from 1 species